rnacentral:rRNA from 1 species
UACGUAGGUCCCGAGCGUUGUCCGGAUUUAUUGGGCGUAAAGCGAGCGCAGGUGGUUUAUUAAGUCUGGUGUAAAAGGCAGUGGCUCAACCAUUGUAUGCAUUGGAAACUGGUAGACUUGAGUGCAGGAGAGGAGAGUGGAAUUCCAUGUGUAGCGGUGAAAUGCGUAGAUAUAUGGAGGAACACCGGUGGCGAAAGCGGCUCUCUGGCCUGUAACUGAUACUGAGGCUCGAAAGUGUGGGGAGCAAACAGG